GACGAACGCUGGCGGCGUGCUUAACACAUGCAAGUCGAACGGAAAGGCCCUGCUUUUGUGGGGUGCUCGAGUGGCGAACGGGUGAGUAACACGUGAGUAACCUGCCCUUGACUUUGGGAUAACUUCAGGAAACUGGGGCUAAUACCGGAUAGGAGCUCCUGCUGCAUGGUGGGGGUUGGAAAGUUUCGGCGGUUGGGGAUGGACUCGCGGCUUAUCAGCUUGUUGGUGGGGUAGUGGCUUACCAAGGCUUUGACGGGUAGCCGGCCUGAACGGGUGACCGGCCACAAUGGGACUGAGAUACGGCCCAGACUCCUACGGGAGGCAGCAGUGGGGGAUAUUGCACAAUGGGCGGAAGCCUGACGCAGCAACGCCGCGUGCGGGAUGACGGCCUUCGGGUUGUAAACCGCUUUCGCCUGUGACGAAGCGUGAGUGACGGUAAUGGGUAAAGAAGCACCGGCUAACUACGUG
rnacentral:rRNA from 1 species